rnacentral:rRNA from 1 species
UAUAAGUAUAAACGAUUUAAUCGUGAAACCGCGAACGGCUCAUUAUAACAGCUAUAAUUGACUUGAUCUUGACUUCCUACUUGGAUAACUGUGGUAAUUCUAGAGCUAAUACAUGCACCAAAGCUCCGACCUUACGGGAAGAGCGCAUUUAUUCGAACAAAACCAAGCGGCUUCGGCCGUCCGCAGUUGACUCAGAAUAACUAAGCUGAUCGCAUGGUCUUGUACCGGCGACGUGUCUUUCAAGUAUCUGCCUUAUCAACUUUCGAUGGUAGUGUAUCUGACUACCAUGGUGGUGACGGGUAACGGAGGAUAAGGGUUCGACUCCGGAGAAGGGGCCUGAGAAAUGGCCACUACGUCUAAGGAUGGCAGCAGGCGCGCAAAUUACCCACUCUCAGAAUGAGGAGGUAGUGACGAGAAAUAACGAGACCGUUCUCUACGAGGCCGGUCAUCGGAAUGGGUACAAUUUAAA